UUGAAACAGAAAUAACUUUAUUAACAUUAAAACACAAGACGUGAAUAGUCCCUUUUACAAUAGGAUAAUUCUGGCCAAAGAAAGUGGAGUGCAUUAAAAAGUUGUUUUAUUGUUCAGAAUAAAUGUGUUGUCUUCAGAAUGCCUCAAAUCAAAGGUAGCAGGAGGAAUGCUUGUGAAAGUGUCCCCUUGGUUAGCAGUCGUUCCAUCUUUCUUGGUACGACAUGGAGUGGAAUAGAGUACUCUGGGGCUGGUUGGAGGACUCCGAGCUGCCCAGAUCCCUCGCACUCCUGAAGCUAUGUCUGUGAUUUUUCAUUCUUCAGAGGCAAGAGCCCAAGUAUUGUUCUUUAUACAGCGACCUAUGCCGGUUUACAGAAUGUCACAAACCAUGAGUAAUACUUGUGGAUAGUUCAGAUGUUUUGCUUUGCUUCUGAUGAAAAACAGAGGGCAGAGUUAUUCAUAGACAUAAGUGACUUCUGUUAAUCUAUGAAUGACUCACAGUGCUUUUAUCAUAAGAUUGAUAGGUCAUAGUUGACACAACCCCAUAGUUAACACUCCUUGAUCAAAUCCACCAUUUUAGCCCUCUGCAUAGAGCUUUGCAACUUAACUGCUUCAUUGAUCCACACAAAAAGGCCUGUUUCUUCACUUUCUUGUCUCACUUCUCAACACCACUUAUAUUACAGAGGUGACAUGAAAUGAAGACUUAAAUUGCUAACACCAACUUAUCUGCAGAAAGGCUGUGGUACAUUUAACUUGUACUUUAAAAGUAUUAUAAAUAAUUAAAAACUCCAAUUGCUUGAGUAAGUAAAGAAAAUUUAUCUGAAUGCACGUUAUCUCUGCUCAUCAUUAUGUUUGUUCCCUUGCUCUUGUUUGCAAAGCUUCCCAUGGAUAUAACUGAAUUAUUAAGACAACACACACUUUAGCAUCAAAUAAACCACUUUGAAAUAUGAUGUGCUCACUCACUACUAUGACAGUGCAAGGGGUCAGAUUUUACCAAGUUUUCUCUAGCUUUUCUUUGCUGAUGAGGUCUGUAUUUAAAAUUAUUAACUGGUUGGUCUAUUUCACCCUAUGCUAUUCAUAUGCAAUAUUAUUUGAAUACUAACACAGAAUAUAAAAUAGCAGCAUCCAAGGAUAAUAAAAACACUAUGACGAUCUAAAAUGUGUUCACAAUUAGCUGCAAUGUUCACAUUGACUGUAAUGGAAGAGUAGCUGAUUCUGGAGGACAUAGUGGUUACGUCUACCUUGCAUGAGAGACAUGGCCUGCAAAUUAGAAUUGUUAUCUAUACAGGCACCAAGUUUGCAAGCAUGGCCCAGGGUGAACAUGUAACAGGAUUCUGUCUGUUCCUGGCUGUUCCGGAGCUUCCUAUGGAUAGAUGAUGGGUAAAAACAAAAGGCUGUGUUCUGUGCUGGUCCCCAACAUGCAGAAGUGUGUCUGUCCUAGAGACACAAAGUGCUUUCUCUUAACUGAACAAAGACUAAAUGCCCACUCAGGCUUCCUGUAUCUUGCAGAAAGGUACUCAUGGAGCUGCCAUGAGGAACAAGCCCUGUUUCAGUGGGCUGAAUGAAGCCUCCAGGUUGAGAACUUAAUUCACAGAUCUAAAGUCUCGCAGAAUCUCUCUAUUUGCUGCAAGACAGGACUAACUCUGUCCAGCUCUUUUUUCACGGUAACUUGACAUCUUAAUUGCUCUUAGGGAAGCACACUUGUCCAUCCUUACGCACUGUUAAGAGCCUGAUUUCAUAGUCAGGAGUUCUCAUGAAGGUUCCUGCUGACUGUUUUCCUUUGGACACUGCAAUUUCCCACCUGCUCUUGAAAUGAGCUGGUUUGUCGCAAUUCCCAGGUUAGAUGCUCUCUCACUAUAUAGUCCACAUUUUCAGUUCUGCAGUUUCUGUUCAGACUGCAUCUUUCUUUGAGGAGCAUGUACUGGAUGUGUUUAUAGUGUCCUUGAACAGUGACCCAGAGCUGAGUUCCUCAUGAGUCUUGUGGCAAGGCAGAGGGUAAUCUUCCAAGUGUGGUUCUCAAAUGCAACCAGAGCUCACUCUCUGGAGCACAUGGGACACCACUUGCCUCACUGUAUCAAAUGGCUUAAUCAGGAAGCUGGCACACUGUCCCAGGCUGGGUGUAUAGGAAAAACCCAAGUAAGGAUUGUGGUACUUCAAGCUGCUCUUAAAACAGGCCUUGAAUGGCUGCCUGAGCAUGUACUGCCUUGAUACCUCCAGCGAUGACCACUGGGCUUAUCUGCUUGUAUGCUCCCUCCUCCUCCUCAGUUUCUUCACUAUCUCAGUGCAUUUCUGGCUAGUGGAACACCCAUAAACUGUAAAUCCCCUAUAAAAAUUUUCUCAGCCCCUUCAGUGGGGUCUCCAGUCAAAAGGGGUUGGGUUCAGAUGUUGAAGUAACAGCCUGUUCUCCAGGUUUCUCCAGAGCAAGGAAGUCUUGUUGCUGGCUUGGUGGGUAUCUGGGACAUCAUUGUUAUCAAAUAGUUUGGGUUAGAAGUGACCCUUAAAGAUGAUCAAGUCCCAACCUCCUGCCAUGGGCAGGGACACCCUCCUGUAGACCAGGUUACUCAAAGCCCCAUCCAACCUGGCCUUGAACAAUUCCGAGGAUGGGGCAUCCACAGCAUCUCUGGGACAGCUUUUUCUGUGCCAGUGUCUCCCCACCCUUACAAUAAAGAAUUUCUGCCUAAUAUCUUAACAAAAACUACGCUCUUUCAGUAAAGCCAAUACCCACAUGUCCUAUAAAAUACAUGGCCCUCUCGUCAUAUAAAUCUACAUUUUAGGCAGCACUUCUCAACUUUGAAAAAUGGUAUUUAAUUACCUUAUGACUCAUUGAUCUUUUUUUGUUGUGUUUGAUUUUGCUUGUACUAGGUUAGGUUAUGGGGAACCAGGGCAAGAGGUGAAUAGUACAGAGGAUGUAACGUUUCUUUCCUUUGAUGAGCACCAUGUAGUGCUAAAGUAUUCCUAAAAGUUAUAGUUGUAACAUAGCAGCCUUGAUCUAAGAACAUUAGUCUUAUACUUGAUACCCCUUUAAAGUUCCUAAAUUGAUCAGGCUUUUUUAUUAAUUGUUUUCAUGCAGUCAAGAAGCAAAGUCUCUGCCUGAGCUGCCUCUGUAAAUCCAGCUGUUUGUGCAACUCCUUAGUCACUAGUGAGAUUCAUUUGGAGAGCUGAUAGACAAAGGUGGGUGUUCAAAGUCAGGAAGAACAAGGGCAGAUUAAAUAAGGUUACAGUCACAAAUGCCUUGUUUUCUGCAUUUUAAGAGGGGUGUGGUAAGAUGACGUUUACAGCGAGAAAUGUUUGGAGCGCUGAUUUUAUGCUGAGAGAACACUAAUAUGAAAUAACUAAGGAGAAACAUGUUUCAUCCUGAAAGUGCUAACAGGAAGCUCCUUCCUGUGGCAACUAGCUAUCACUGAAUCUUCAACAAGACCCAGAGGAUAAUGCAUAUUGGAAGGGAUCUCACCAUGACAUCAAGUCUCAGACCCCGUUCCAGACAGGGACUGCUUGGAGAAGGCUGCUCAGGGCAGUGAAAGUCUUGACACAGUACCUGCUGGAGACAUGGAAGGGAUUUUCUCAACUCCAGCUGAUGCUACUUUGGGCCAGAGCUGCCCUUUAUGUUUCUGAUCCAUUACCCUUCAGUCUGAGCUCAAGGAAGCAUUCUGAUGAGGAGUAAACACGGUGGAAUAGCUGCUGAUGGGGAGGGCAUGCACGUGCUGCACCUUGCAAUGCUACAGCCACUGCUGGGCUGUACCUGGGCAGCUUUCUCUAGGCAAGGGGAUGGGACUGAGCCACCCAAGCAGCAGUGCCAUGGAAUGCCUUCAGACAGUCAGGAUGUGAGAUCUGCUCCUGUCACCUCUAGAUGCAAACAGCACAUUAAUACUGGUGCUGCUCAAGAACUGGCAAUAAAGUCAUCUUCUUUUGACUAUUUAAUAGGAAAAUAAGUGGUCUACAUACCAUGCUGAAUGUGCUUUAUGCCUCUGCCUCAUCAGGCUCCCACUGCUGCCUGCUGAUGCAUGGUACUCCUCCACAGAAACUUUCAAGAGAAAAGAUGAACUAUCAUGAACUGUUGAUGACUCAAAAGAACCACUUGAAAAUUUGCCUUCAACUAACUAGUCUUGCUGUAAGUGGUUUUAAAUCUCUCAGGAAGACUUGUCUCCAAAGCCGGAGCAUUAAUGAGUAGAACAUUUAUAAAGACCUUAAAUUGACUGCAGGUUUAAAGGUUCAUGAAGACCUUUGAGCAGAAAUUAUCUCCUUCCAAAGUGGAGAAGACAUUAGAGAUACAAAGUUAUAUUGCUGUAAAUUGUAAGAAACCUGAAUUUUAACCAAUUUCAAUUCACAUAUAUUAGAGAAGCCUGUGAAAGAAACUUUAUUCAAGAACAAAGGGAAAUAAUGGUUUAUUAGCCUUAAUUUUUAUCUCUGCAUCUGAGCAGAGGUCAUCUUAUUUCCUUUUUUGUUUCAUCCACUGUUACCACUCCUCAUGUACUGUGGGCUUCAGAGGGGAGCUGUCAGCUUCUGCAUGUUUGCACAGCACAGUGGGCUAAGCCCCCAGAAACCACCAAAAUAGGAAACUGACACAGUGGUAUCAGCCUUUCCAAAGGCUAAAAACAGACAGCUGUUGCCAGCAUUGCCCAGAAUCGAGUGUUUUGAUUCAGUUUUCAGCAAAUAGUUAAAUUUGCUGAAAUUCACCUCAUCCUAAUACAGGGGUUUUAAAUGGGUCAGAAGAAUCAGGCUUCAGAAAUGCCUCUUUUCUUACUAGUAAGGCAGUAUUAAAGUGACUGCCUUAAAUGAGAUACAUGUACGGACUGCAUGGAAGCAAAAUCCUAUUUAUAAAAUGAUUACAAUAAAGUUAGACUUAAAGGAAAGGAAAAACUGCUCUGAAUUUACCAUCUUCCAUUUAAACCAAACACUUGUUGAGUAAGAAUCAUUACUAGGCUGGGAAAGUCACCACACCCUCAUUAGGUCUCCCCUCAUCUAUUUUCGGAUACAUCCAGUGUAGCAGUCUGCAUUUGAGCUAAUGACCCUGAGUUCCCCUUAUACUCAGUGGGAAAACACAAGCAUGCUCAGAGUGCAGGGUAUUUCACCUGCUUGAAAUACCUUGUGAUUAAACAAAUAAUGCCCCAGAAGAAGCUGCUUCUCUUCACUGGCCAUCCAAUUUUUUUCUGCAGCAUUGACAGGAAACUGAGUUCAGGAGCUGCCCAAGAGCAGAUGCACUUCAGAACAUUUCCCUUUGCUCUCUGUGAGGAAGAUGAUAGUACUGGGAAUGUCUAAAAGGAACUCUUAGGCUUCUCUCUAUAUUAAAAGAGAAAGAGACUUCAGCCUAAAAGGCAAGGAAGAACCUAGGAUAAGGGACAGAGCUAGAUCCUGGACAGCAAAGGUGAUUUCUUCUGUCCUUAACUGCUAAAAAAAAAAAAAAAAAAAAAAAA
ensembl:lncRNA